rnacentral:antisense_RNA from 1 species
UACCGACAUUAAAGAUUCGUUAUCAGAGCCUUUUCCGACCGCUAAGUAGGCGUUCAUUCCCAGUUCUUUCAUUUGUUGCUCGCCGAUAAUACAGGUCUUAGUAUUAUGUUUUUUGUAGUUAUCUGCCAACUGCCUCGCUUGCAAGGCUAAAUAAGUGGAGUUACAAAUAUUAGGGGGCAUAUUGCCUAAAUCUUUGGA